rnacentral:tRNA from 1 species
GGUGGUCUAGUGGUUAAGACCUUGGCUGUUAACCAAAAGGUCGGUGGUUCGAAUCCACCAGUCACCC